rnacentral:lncRNA from 1 species
ACAUCUUAUAACUAACAAGAAAACAACUUAAAUAGCAACAAUUAACAAAUAUAAAACAUCAGACCAAAAAAGUUAACCAUACUUUUCAAUAAAUACUAUGAUAGUACCAUGACUAAUGGUACAAUUAUCAAGAAUCGACAAUUGACUGCAAAUUCAGAAAAAAUGUCCAUGUUAUUAUAAUUGCCAAUAAUGCAACAGGAUAUGGUGUUUUUUUUGUUGAUAAAACCUCACAUUUUAACAAAAAAUUUCAUCACCUUAUUAUUCUUAUGCAUUUUAUGCAUCAUUUCCCCAUUAAUGAAACCUACUAAUAUUGCCUGUUGAUUAACAAAAUAAAUAAUUGUAUUAUGGUAAUCAAAUUUCACUGAAGGUUUUAAUUACAAUUUUCUUACAUUAAAUUCUUGUUAUGAAUACAAGUAAAGAGCUGCAGAUUUAUUUGAAGGAAAAUUUAGAACUAAACAAGAAUGUGUCCACAGUACACGGAUGCCCCACUCACACUAUCAUUUUCUAUGUUUAAAGGACUGUGAAAUUGGA